rnacentral:sRNA from 1 species
UGUUAAUCACACAUAUUAGUUUGAAGCCAAUUACUAAUGUAUGUCGUGUGGAGGAAGCACCAUUGGUGUGGUGAUGGCGUCAUGAAAUGCAUGACUGAAUGUUUUAAUUACUUCAUUUGUCCCAAAAAGAAAGAUACAUAUAUCUUGUUUAUUACUGUUGUACGUAUCUGUUAUUGAAUGGAAUUCUGAAUAACAUGAUCCACUUUGUUGUACAUGUCUUACUACAUCAUCUCUUGAUGUGUCGAUGGUGAAUCUGGCAAGUAAAAUAACCUGGUAUUUAUGACUUUAUGUUUGGUAAGCAUCAUCCAUUGUUUCUUCUGUCAUGUCUGAAUAUGUAGCUUCAUAUUUUGUGCUCACUUAUAUACCCUGGUGAUGUCUAUCUGAUGUAGGGUUGUUUGCUUAUGUUUAUGCUUUUCGUUCUUUUAUUUUCGAGGAUUAUACUUUUAGUUCUUGCCUCGGUGCCUCAUUCCCUGCUUGAACUCUCAUGCAGUUUCUCUUGAAGAAUUUUGACACGUUGGUAUACGUACCAUAAAUGCCAACAAAUUAAGAAUUCUUCUCUGGGCUGCCCAGAAAUCAUUGCCAGUUUUAUUACGACAAUUCAUUCUCCAGUCUGUACUCUGUUAAUUUUACACUGUGGAAUCAUCACCAUGUAAAUUUUGGACAUGGCUGUAUUUAUCUUUCACCUUGUGAAUCACUUAAUACAACCUGAUGAUUUGUGAUCUGU